AUUUACAUGACGCUGAUAAUGACGCCAUUGUGUCUGUCUGUAAGACAUAUUACCAGACAGCACGCAGGAGCUUCAGCUAGAAACAACCAGAUGUGGCAUCGCGGGCAGAAGCUGAGAAGAGUUCUGCUCGGAGUCGGUCGAGAAGAAAAGAGGUCAAGACUAUGAACCUACAGUGAGACCUUGCCCGCUCAGCACGGCUAGGAGAGACUACAAGACCGCCAACGCGGUAGGCUACCGACUCGAAGAUCCAGCAGAUCAGAUAAGCAAAGCCCAUGAUGUGCUGUCGCCAUAGUGACUGCAAGCAACGGUGAUAAGACUGUGUUUAAAGCGCAACUUUCCAAGCUGAAGCCAAGAAGCCUCUACCAUUAGGCUACGAUCAACUUAAAAUGGUGUGAGAAGUGGUUCAACUUGGAAAUUGCAACUAGGACUCAGCUCUAUUAACCAUUACAGUGCUUAGCCUACAUGUUUUGGGGAUGAAUCUAAUGUGCUGGUGUUUCUGGUUAUACAUGCUACAAGGUGUCAAGGAGAAUCUAUAUGAAGGUAAAUAUGGUGCAAAACGUGAGAGCUUGUAGAAUACAAUGUGAGAACUUGCAGAACAAAAACUCUGAACUUGUAUGUUAAAAUUUUCACUUGUGAAAUUAAAAUUUUCACUUGUGAAAUUA